CCUACGGGAGGCAGCAGUGGGGAAUAUUGCACAAUGGGCGAAAGCCUGAUGCAGCAACGCCGCGUGAAGGAAGAAGGGUUUCGGCUCGUAAACUUCUAUCAACAGGGACGAAAGAAAUGACGGGAGCUGAAUAAGAAGCCUGGGCUAACUACGGGCCAGCAGCCGCGGUAAUACGUAGGGGGCAAGCGUUAUCAGGAAUUACGGGGUGUAAAGGGUGAGUAGGCGGCAUGGUAAGGCAGAUGGGAAAGCCUUGGGCUUAACCCGAGGAUUGCAUUUGGAACUAUCAAGCUAGAGUUCAGGAGAGGACAGCGGACUUCCUCGUGUAGCGGUGAAAUGCGUCGAUCUUAGGCAGACCCCCAGUGGCGACGGCGGCUUUCUGGACUGUACCUGACGCUGAGGCACGACAGCGUG
rnacentral:rRNA from 1 species